GGACGAACGCUGGCGGCGUGCUUAACACAUGCAAGUCGAACGGAAAGGCCCUGCUUUUGUGGGGUGCUCGAGUGGCGAACGGGUGAGUAACACGUGAAUAACCUGCCCUUGACUUUGGGAUAACUUCAGGAAACUGGGGCUAAUACCGGAUAGGAGCUCCUGCUGCAUGGUGGGGGUUGGAAAGUUUCGGCGGUUGGGGAUGGACUCGCGGCUUAUCAGCUUGUUGGUGGGGUAGUGGCUUACCAAGGCUUUGACGGGUAGCCGGCCUGAGAGGGUGACCGGCCACAUUGGGACUGAGAUACGGCCCAGACUCCUACGGGAGGCAGCAGUGGGGAAUAUUGCACAAUGGGCGGAAGCCUGAUGCAGCAACGCCGCGUGCGGGAUGACGGCCUUCGGGUUGUAAACCGCUUUCGCCUGUGACGAAGCGUGAGUGACGGUAAUGGGUAAAGAAGCACCGGCUAACUACGUG
rnacentral:rRNA from 1 species